rnacentral:rRNA from 1 species
GAUGAACGCUAGCGGCAGGCUUAAUACAUGCAAGUCGAGGGGCAGCAGGGUGUAGCAAUACAUCGCUGGCGACCGGCAAACGGGUGCGGAACACGUACGCAACCUUCCUUUAAGUGAGGAAUAGCCCAGGGAAACUUGGAUUAAUACCUCGUAAUAUUAUGAAGUGGCAUCACUUUAUAAUUAUAGCUCAGGCGCUUAAAGAUGGGCGUGCGACUGAUUAGGAGUUGGCGGAGUAACAGCCCACCAAGCCUGCGAUCAGUAACUGGUGUGAGAGCACGACCAGUCAC